rnacentral:rRNA from 1 species
GAGUUUGAUCCUGGCUCAGGACGAACGCUGGCGGCGUGCCUAAUACAUGCAAGUCGAGCGAGUUUGCCUAGAUGAUUUUAGUGCUUGCACUAAAUGAAACUAGAUACAAGCGAGCGGCGGACGGGUGAGUAACACGUGGGUAACCUGCCCAAGAGACUGGGAUAACACCUGGAAACAGAUGCUAAUACCGGAUAACAACACUAGACGCAUGUCUAGAGUUUGAAAGAUGGUUCUGCUAUCACUCUUGGAUGGACCUGCGGUGCAUUAGCUAGUUGGUAAGGUAACGGCUUACCAAGGCAAUGAUGCAUAGCCGAGUUGAGAGACUGAUCGGCCACAUUGGGACUGAGACACGGCCCAAACUCCUACGGGAGGCAGCAGUAGGGAAUCUUCCACAAUGGACGAAAGUCUGAUGGAGCAACGCCGCGUGAGUGAAGAAGGGUUUCGGCUCGUAAAGCUCUGUUGGUAGUGAAGAAAGAUAGAGGUAGUAACUGGCCUUUAUUUGACGGUAAUUACUUAGAAAGUCACGGCUAACUACGUGCCAG